UACGGAGGAUCCAAGCGUUAUCCGGAUUUAUUGGGUUUAAAGGGUGCGUAGGCGGAAUAGUAAGUCAGUGGUGAAAUCCUGCAGCUUAACUGUAGAAUUGCCAUUGAUACUGCUAAUCUUGAGUGUAUUUGAAGUGGGCGGAAUGUGUCGUGUAGCGGUGAAAUGCUUAGAUAUGACACAGAACACCAAUUGCGAAGGCAGCUCACUAAACUAUAACUGACGCUGAGGCACGAAAGCGUGGGGAUCAAACAGG
rnacentral:rRNA from 1 species